rnacentral:rRNA from 1 species
UGGGGAAUAUUGGACAAUGGGCGCAAGCCUGACCGAGCGACGCCGCGUGUGCGAUGAAGGCCUUCGGGUUGUAAAGCACUGUCGAGGGGGAGGAAGCUCCGUAAGGAGUUGACCUAUCCCUGGAGGAAGCACGGGCUAAGUUCGUGCCAGCAGCCGCGGUAAGACGAACCGUGCAAACGUUAUUCGGAAUCACUGGGCUUAAAGGGCGCGUAGGCGGGUCGGAUAGUCUGCGGUGAAAUCCCUCAGCUUAACUGGGGAACUGCCGUGGAUACUGCCAAUCUCGAGGAGGGUAGGGGCAUCUGGAACAGCCGGUGGAGCGGUGAAAUGCGUUGAUAUCGGCUGGAACUCCGGUGGCGAAGGCGAGAUGCUGGACCCUUUCUGACGCUGAGGCGCGAAAGCCAGGGGAGCGAACGGGAUUAGAUACCCAAGUAGUCCCUGAGCGGGCUGGCAAGGCGCAU